rnacentral:lncRNA from 1 species
UCUCUCUCUUUCUCUCUCUCUCUCUCUUUCUCUCUGGAUAUGUACCUUAGGAGGCCUGAGUUAACAUGUAAGAUGUCUAACUAUCCCGAAGCCACUAUGCUGGAAGGAUCACAUGGAGAGACCACAUAGAGAUACAAAGAUGCCUGAGGAAACCCAGCUGUUCAGCACAGAUGUUUUUUAGUUUUCCCGUUGCCCAGGCAUGCGAGUGAGUGAGCUUUCCAAAGACUUUAACCCCAGCCUUUGAGCUGCCAGAGCUGACAUGAAGUAGAACAGAGAUGAGCUGAGCUUUGCCCCACCUGCAGAUGUAACUUCCCACAUACACCCCUUUUGGCUGAGCUGUAUGGCCAUAAGCGUAGAGACUUGCAGCUGUAUGUGGCCGUGAAUGAGAGACCCAGAGAUGGAAGCUUCACAGCAUUUGUGGCAGUAGCGGCAGAAAUGCAUCACACAUUUGAGUCCCUAGAUGGCCUUGUGGAGAAACGUCUACCUGCCACCCUGGACUAUUAGACAUGAAAAAGAUGCAGGCAAGAUAUGGAGUGUCUUCAUGGGGGAGAUUCAGAAGCCAUGGAUGGUGUAGAAAGAAAUAUUCUUCAAACAAAACCUUAUGAGGAACAGAACCAUAGCUCCUGAAACUGUGUGAAAGCAAGAGAAAGAGAGUCUUUUGUCAAUAGUCUGUCCACACAUAUCCAGACCCAACCCAAAGUUACAACCUGACCUCCACGAUCACUUUCCCUCACAGGGACCGCACUAUGAGGAACACGCCAAAGUUGAGAAAGGGUAAGAUUCUUGCCCAACCUCAAGACCAGUGCUAUUCUCUUCACGCCAAGGCAGGAAGAUCACUGAAGCCCAGAAGUUCGAGGCUAAAAUGAGCUAUGAUUGUGCCAACGCACUUCAUCCUAGGCAACAUAGCAAAACCCUAUCUCUAAAAUAUAAACAAGUAAAAUAAAUUUAAAAAUAAUUGUGGCGUGUGGCAAUUAUUGAUAAUGCCUCAUAGCCCCAAAUUCAUCCCUGGUUGCCUUCCCUGUGAAAAUAAAUCUAGGCCCUUCACCUUUAUUUUUUUCUUUUUUGGCUAUCAUGAUGCUAAACUUAUCAGUAGAGGGCAAUACAAAGACAUUUCAAGAAGGCAGAGGCUUCCCUCCUGGUAGUGCACUUUUUCCCCACUGUCUAUUCCACGUGGUUUUCACCAUUGUCAAGGGCUUAGAGGGUACAGCUUUCACAGUGUGUUUUCUACAGUUCUUGACUCAGGAAACAAUGGCAUAGUGGAAGCCCCAGAAAAAUCUGACCUGUGCGCUAGCCCUGUUAACUGCUGCCCACAACCCUGAGUGAUAUGAAUGUAAGGGGUACUGUGGAGCUGAUAAUCAGCAAGCUUGUGGCAUGACCUCCAUCCUGUGUAGCCCAGAGCCACCCUACCCAAGCCACAAAUAGAAAAGCUCUGGGUUUUGAUGCUGACUCUCUAUGGUCCCACUUCUUAGCCUAAGAUCACCUGUGCCCUAGAGAGUUGUACCUACUUCGCCUGGUGACUGUGGACCAGCUCUGCAGGAAGCAAUUUACCAAAUGUCUCUGCGAUCCAGUGGUCAGCAAUUACACCUUCUUCAGUGUGGUCAUAGCCUCUUUCCAAAUUUGUCCUUCCUUAACUACUCUCCCUGUUUUCAUGUUUAUAGUUGUUCUCUUAUCAUUGUUUAAUAAUUUUUAUGUUAAAUUUCCCAUGUUUAAAUUACUAAGUCGAUAUUGUCUCUUGAUUGUACCCAGGCCAAUAAAUGGUACUAUAAAUAUUGUGUUUAUAUUUCAAUAUACAUUGUUUUAAGGUGACUCCCAUGGAGUUUAUAAGCAAGAUAAUGCUUGAGCAAAAUCUAGUACAUUGCAAUAACCUAGGUGACCACAUCAUUUCUCGUGCAAUAAUCAUUUUUAUGUCUCAUAAGAUAUAUGAAUAUAUUAUAAAUUAGAAACAGGAAUAAUUAAACAGAAAACAAUAGCAUAUGACAUGGCAAAGGCAAUAAAAUAAAUAUAUAGGCAAUAUAGGAGCAACUAUGAAAGACUAGGACUUGCAAUAUCAUAUAAAGGAAUUUAAGAACCGAAAUUGAGUAGUCAUUCUUGUUAACAGUGUAUUCAUUUUGUUUUCAUAAUCUUAUUAUCAUGCUGUAACUGUGCUAUAAAAGAGAUAUUGACAAAGACAUGCUUCAGUUAAGGCAGUUUACAUAUGAGCAAAAAAUUUUGGAAACAUUGGAAUUGUUAGUAUAA